GAUGCAAUGUGAAAAUGGCAGUCUGGAACCUAGAAGAAGGCCCUCAUCAGAACCUGACCACUUAGACACAGUUAUCACCCCUUCCUCAUUGGAGACAAUGAAUCAUCCCCACCCCGUAGAGGGCCCUCUCCUGGAGGAAAAGAAGAACAAUCGGAGAGCAGGUGAGAGUCAAACUUCUGGAGUCAAGAAAUCCUCUUGCCUCAGCCUGCUAAAUGGCUGGAACUACAGACAUGCACCCUGUGCCCAGCAGAAUCUGGAUUUCUUGAUCUCCACUCCUGAUUUGAUAAAGGGAUGGGCAAUUUUCUUU
rnacentral:lncRNA from 1 species